UGGAGUCCUUGACAAAACCACUAAGCCUGAAGCAGUGAUGGGGAGGGGAGAGCUUUACCAGUCACAAGCUUUCUCUGAGGAGGUGUGAGGCUAUAAUGCACAUGAGUCACCAGCCUGAGCUCUGAUUGACAUCCAGACACAGUAACAAUUCCUGAAGAGCCAAGAUGGCUCAUAAAAAUGUGCUGCGACCCGCUGCUCCAACUUCUUGCCACCUGGACUCCCCGACCAUGAUGCACCAUGACCUGGAAUUGCACUUUAAAAUAAAAGCCUUGCUUCUUCCAAUUGACACAGUCAGGAAUAUUGUCACAACAAGGAGUAACUAGU